rnacentral:tRNA from 1 species
UGGAGAGGUGGCAGAGUGGCCGAAUGCGGUAGAUUGCUAAUCUAUUGUAGCACUAUUUGAGCUACCGCGGGUUCGAAUCCCGCCCUCUCCGU